rnacentral:rRNA from 1 species
GUGGGGAAUAUUGCACAAUGGGCGCAAGCCUGAUGCAGCCAUGCCGCGUGUAUGAAGAAGGCCUUCGGGUUGUAAAGUACUUUCAGCGGGGAGGAAGGUGUUGUGGUUAAUAACCGCAGCAAUUGACGUUACCCGCAGAAGAAGCACCGGCUAACUCCGUGCCAGCAGCCGCGGUAAUACGGAGGGUGCAAGCGUUAAUCGGAAUUACUGGGCGUAAAGCGCACGCAGGCGGUCUGUCAAGUCGGAUGUGAAAUCCCCGGGCUCAACCUGGGAACUGCAUUCGAAACUGGCAGGCUGGAGUCUUGUAGAGGGGGGUAGAAUUCCAGGUGUAGCGGUGAAAUGCGUAGAGAUCUGGAGGAAUACCGGUGGCGAAGGCGGCCCCCUGGACAAAGACUGACGCUCAGGUGCGAAAGCGUGGGGAGCAAACAGGAUUAGAAACCCCUGUAGUCC